UGGGAAUGGGGCAGAAAUAGGCCUGGCCUGCCCAGGAUAUGUGUGAGGACCUGCCUCCAGCUAGCAAGAAAUCCACAUGGAGACUGGUGUAUUAUUAUAGCUGAAGAAAAUGGAGAAAGGAAAAUAAAGGUCUUACUUUGCCUUGCAGAAAGGCAGUCCCAGGGCCAGGACCAGCCCUGGGAGAAAGGAGCAACAUGCUGGUUUUCACUGUGAGGAAUGGCUUGCACAGAGACCACCCACUCCGAGAACUGACCUGACUUUGGUGAUCACAUUCAGCUGAGAUGAAAGUUGAAACAAGGCCAGCUGUAAUCCCCAAGAAACCAGGCCACUCUCAGGACUCAGGACAAUCAGGUCCCAUUAAAAAGCAUCUGCCAGA